rnacentral:lncRNA from 1 species
AUGUCAUGUUUACAGUUUGUUGAAAAGCAGACAUUGGCUGGGUUAUUUGGUGGAUGCCACUUAUCUUCGGUAGAAUCAUUAGUGGAAUUCAAAGAACAUUAUGAUCAGUGGAACUGCAAGAUAAGACAAGUCCUCGAUUUACAGUUUUGCUUUAGUAAUGACAGCUCAAGCAGAAGGACUUGUAAUAGACUUAGUUGACCUAAUCAUGCUCUUGAGCUGCCUAGACAUGGCAUAGGAUCAGGAACAAGUAUCUCCCUUGUGACUGUACAUUGCUGCAGUUCAGAGUCCGGAUGUCACAAGUUCUGCCAUACAGUUUAUAGUCAUCUUCAGUCUUCUCCCUUCCAGAAUUAUCAGUGGUUUUGGUUUUUUUAAAGCCUGAUAUACUCCUGUGGUCAUGAAAGCCAUACCAAUAGAAAGGACUAUUAGCUGUCAUCUGGCCUCAUUCUGGUGUGCUUUACCUCACUUUACAGUGUACCCUAUGUGGAGGACAAACACUUGAUAACCUGAAAAAAGCAGAGGUUUCAAUUUUAUUUGCCCAAAGGGGAGCAUAGUUACUUUCAUAACAAUAACUAAUUGAAUAAAGAACUCUCUUGUUAUGUGAUGUAACUUACUGGUAGUCAAGGCUGCCAGAGCCCAAACAGUAUCAUCUGCCCAUGUAAAGUUAUUCCAGUAUCCCAAAUGUGCAAGUAAUCCAGUCAUGUAUCUAGAGUAUUUUGCCUCUGAUUUGCCUACUAGAUCUGAUAGUGUGUUGUAGAAUGGUAUUUCAGGAGGUAAUGCACUAGUGCAGCCAUGGUUUUUUUACUUCCACUGUCCUGAAGAGACUGCAAUUUGCCACACUCUGUAUUCCAUCAAGUCUUCAAAAAGAGCAUGCUUACUCACCUGACAGUGACUCUGAUCCUUGAGGAUGUUUAUCAUAUUUAGGAAGAUAUUUAUCAUCUUUAGGAAUCCUAUCACCCACCUCCCAAGCCUGUUCUGGAAGUUUUCACCUAACACAGGCUUUCAGACCUGAGGAGAAUUGGGUGGAGCUGGAGUCAUUCUUCCUUUUAUACAGUAUGGGAUUACGAGGAUUCAUGCAGUAUAUGCAGAGCUCCAACAACCAUGCUGUUUAAAAGACUUCUGAAUUCACACAUGUGAAGCAUCUGUGUGUCCUCUGCAAGUUCUGUAAUGACUGCAAUGUUGUAAGAAAAGUAUCUGUUGUUAAUGUACCGAGUUUCACUACUGUAAAUACUGUUUUGGGUUACUGAGAUAUGACUUUUUCUCACUAGUAUUUUACUAACUUUUAAUGUUUAUAAUAUUGAAAAUCAGGUUGUAUACACCUAUUUACUGUAAAAUGUAUCAGUUUUCUGGUGUUAUGGAUAGUCAUGUUGUCUUCCUUUCAAGUAAAAUAGCAAAAUUAAUUCUUGAAACACAUUAGUAUUACAGACCUCUUCAACCCAUUAUACACAUAUUGAUUCCUGAUAUUCUCAAAACCUCUGAGGAAAAUGCCUUGCAUUAUUUUUCAUCUUGGAUUUUGCAAAACUGGAAAUGGAAGGGAUUAAAGGACCAUCUCAGGAUUUGGGAGGUUUUGCUUUUGUAUCCAGGUUUCAAGUUGAGUAUCCUCCACUUGGAUAAAUGCAUUUUCUUGUUGUAAGUUGUCUUUUAUCUAACAUGGACACAAUUAUUACAUCUCAAACAAGAGCAUUUGCAUUGCAGGGAAGAGAAGCAAGUUUUUUAAUCCUUCCUUUCCCUGUGUGUUAAAGGAUCCUUUUUGCACAGCACCUCUUUUGCUAAAUCUACUCUUUUCCCACAUUAGAUGCAUAGUGGGACACUCAGUGAUGUGAAGGGGGAGAGGAAGUAACAGAAUUGAUGUAUUCAUGUGAGAAAGUACUCGUGAUGGAAGAGAAUUGGGACACACACAUGCACACACUAGACAAAUGUACAUGCUAAGUAGAAAAAGCUGACCAGAUUUUUAGGUUGACUGGAUGGUAUCCAUUUACCAGUGAUUUUGGAAACGUUACUUUAACAAAAGAAAUGUGGCUACAAGUCCUUUCGGGGGCUCAUAAUAAUAAUAAUGAGUUUCAAGGAAGGAAGUUAGAGCAAGAAAAUUUUGAGUGUUUUGAGAAAUAUGUCUCAGUUCAAGUUUGAAUUCUGUUGAAUUUCUUGAAAACCCUCUUGAAAACUGUUGCAGCAGUGGGUAUUAGGCCAUCAUUUUGUCAGCAGAAGGUUGUUUUUCUGGAAACAGCCAUUGAGGAGUCGUGCACUGGUCUGCACUGGAUUCUAUGGGCAAAGCCACUGACUGUUAAUAAGCUCUGUCUGGCAGCCAGGAAAGCAACAGGGAAUGGAAAAUACCAGCACAAAAAGAGAACCAGGAAAAAAGGGACAGACUGCUUUUUAGGGGUAUGCUUUCUAAACCUAAAAAACAUUGGUUUAAAACCAAUUUAAAUACUUAGAGCUUCACUUUUUUUCCCCCUCAAGGAAAAUGACUGAAGCUUGGUAAAGUCAUGGGAGCAGAAGAUACUCAAAGAUGGAAUCACAUUUAGGUGUUUGGGAGGAGCAGGAGGAUUUCCAUGAAUCUGACAUGCUUCUUAAAAAUAAUGUAUGUGCAUGGAUGUUUGAGUGGUUCCUUUACAGAUAAUUUAUAUUUACUUCAGUCUCCAAAAGGUCCAUCUCUAAGAUAACAAAACAGAGACCGGAGAAGUAACGUGUGAAGUGUGCCCUAGUGGAAUACAAGAAGCCUCAGGAAAAUUCCCUCAGACCACAGUGUUUUCUUUCUCCUGUUUCCAGUUUAUUGUUCCUUUUUAUCAUCUUCCUUUCUUUUUUUGCCUCUAAAAAAAGUUCCUUUUCACCAAAAGUUGUAAGAAUGCAGUGAGAGUAAGAGAGAUGGGUUGGGUUAAGUAUAGUUACAGUAUACUUGAACAUGAAUGUGUAGGAUGCAAAUGAGCUGGCUAGAUAGAAGCAGAUGCCUUUGCUUCCUUAUUCUGUUUAGUGUCUCAUGCACUUUCAAGGUAAGUUAAUCCACAGAGAUACUGUGUCUAGACUGUGGACUUGCUGUAGAGAAGGAGAACCUGAAGCUACAGAGGCUUGGGAACUUCCAGGAUAGGCUGCUUGUGGAAAGAUUUGGAAGUUUUAGUCUCUGAGUCAAGGGCAAUUGUACUGUAGAGUCUCAACUCCCAAAGAGGUGUUGGAAGUGAUCAACUGUAUUCCUGAAGAGUAUAAUUAUAGAGAUUUUUUUAUGUAGAAAAUAUCUGCUGCUCAGACCUAAUAAGGCUUGCAAAUGCACAUUAUCCCGGUGUGGGAUUCAUAGCUUAUAAUGAAGUUGGUUUUGUAGGUUUGUAAUAUCUGCUGGUCUUCUCAGUUCCGGUGGAGAAUGAUUGAGAUACUUAAGAGGAAAUGUAAGAAAGCUUUUGGUUGUUCUUUCUUUUAAAUGAACCUCCAGAAAGAAGAAUUGCUCCUAAUACUCAGUUGUUACUUGACUUCAAAGUUGUUUAUUCCUAUUAUUAAAAAUUGAGUUGUUUUUGAAGAUUUACUAAAGCAAGAUCACCUAUGCCAUUACCCACCUAAACUCCUUGUCCAAUCCUGCCAUGUUCGUGGCUUCAGGAUGUAAUUUAAAGCGUGCAAAGUUUUAUCGUCAGCAGUUCAAACCACUGUACUUUCUUUGUGGUGUUCUCCAUUUGGUUCCUCAAGCAUUCUAAGAAACCUGAUCUUGUUUCUUAUGUGCAGAUUUUGAAAUGAAGUUUUAUACAUAUGUGGCAAAGCCAAUAGUAUGAUAGUAAUACUGUAAUGUUGCUACAUCAUAAAUCUUAAAAUUUGCAUUUGGAGCCUCAAAUCUCGCUCCUGACAAGCUAAUAACUCUAAUGAUCAGUCAGAGAGUUAAUGCAUUGUGACAA